UGCAGGGCUGUCGCUGACCCUCAAAGGUCGUGCACGCCCGAGCACGCUCUCACACAAUCCAUCUCACCCCUUUGUGCAUCACCGCGUGGGUCCCUCCCCCCUUUGUGGGGAGGGGGCUUGCGU
rnacentral:rRNA from 1 species